UGCAUAUGCUGAAUUUCCUCAGUCAGCUACUGAAGUCUUCUUAUGAUCAUCUUGUGGAAGACUUCAUCUUGAAUGGCUUCACAACUCAAUCUGAAUGCUGAUUGAGUUGAUGCUUAGAUCUUCUAUUAGCUUGCAUGUCAUUCGUUGAGUGCUCUUUAGCUUCCUUUAGGUGAGAUGUAUCAUUACAGUACCAAUCAAAGGCUUCAUUCCUUUGGAUAUUCUGGGAGAGCUCAAUUGUUGAGAAUAGUGUUUGCUCUACGAUUCUUCCUUGGCUUUGUGAGCACAUCUAUUGAGGUCUUAGCU
rnacentral:lncRNA from 1 species